rnacentral:SRP_RNA from 1 species
GCUGGGUGUAGUGGUUCAGACCUAUUGUCCCAGAUGCCAGGGAGGUUGAGCCUAGUGGUCUUGAGCUCAGGAGUUCUGAGCUGCAGUGGGCUAAGCAGAUAAGAGUGUCCACACUAAAUCCAGCACCAGCAAGUUGAGUCCCCAGGAAUAGGGAUCACCAGGUUGACUAAGGAGGUGCAAACUAGACCAGGUGAGGAAAUGAAGCAUGUCAAAGUUCCUGGGCCAAUCAGUAGUAAGGUUGAAUCCAUGAGUGGCCCCUGAACUUGCAGACUGGGUAAGAUAGAGAAACCCAGUCUUU